rnacentral:rRNA from 1 species
GAUGAACGCUGGCGGCGUGCCUAAUACAUGCAAGUUGAGCGAAUAGACGAGGAGCUUGCUCCUCUGACGUUAGCGGCGGACGGGUGAGUAACACGUGGAUAACCUACCUAUAAGACUGGGAUAAAUUCGGGAAAUCGGAGCUAAUACCGGAUAACAUGUUGAACCGCAUGGUUCAACAGUGAAAGACGGUCUUGCUGUCACCUAUAGAUGGAUCCGCGCCGCAUUAGCUAGUUGGUAAGGUAACGGCUUACCAAGGCAACGAUGCGUAGUCGACCUGAGAGAGUGAUCGGCCACACAGGAACUGAGACACGGUCCAGACUCCUACGGGAGGCAACAUUAGGUAAUCUUCCGAAAUGGGCGAAAGCCUGACGGAGCAACGCCGCGUGAGUGAUGAAGUUCUUCGGAUCGUAAAACUCUGUUAUUAGGGAAAAGCAAAUGUGUAAGUAACUAUGCACGUCUUGACGGUACCUAAUCAGAAAGCCACGGCUAACUACGUG